AUGGAGCUAGUGCAAGCUCUGGGGUACAAUAAAUUGCCCUGUGUUUUUGGGGGCGAUUUUAACUUAAUUAGGAGAAUUAACGAGAGAAACAAAAUUAAAAAACUUCCAAAAUGGUCUUUUUAUUUUAAUUCUAUUAUUGAGCAUUGGGGCUUAAAAGAAUUAGAUUUGUCAGGGAGGAGCUAUACUUGGUCGAAUAAUCAGGAGGAUCCGCUUUUUGCUAAGUUGGACAGAAUUUUAGUGAGCUCUCUUUGGGAGCAGCAAUUUCCUUUAGUAACUGUCAGAACCUUGGUGAGAGGGGUCUCUGACCAUGCAGCGCUUCUAUUACAUACAGGGAUUAAGUCUACUAUUAAUUGCAAGCCUUUUAAAUUUGAGCUAUGCUGGCUGUCUAGAGAAGAGCUCCCUGAUAUUGUUAAUAAAGUCUGGAGUUCCACUAUUCGUAGAGGUAGUAGUCUUGAUUGGUGGCAGGAUUUCAUGCGGAAAUUAAGGAGAACCCUUAAAGGGUGGAACCUUAAUGUAUAG
rnacentral:rRNA from 1 species